rnacentral:misc_RNA from 1 species
CUCGGCAGCGACGGCAUCUCCUACACGCCUCUUCAAUUGUUGGGUUGAGCGUUGGCUCGUCCGACUCCGGUUUUCCUGUGCGGGCUACCUAUCGUGAUGGCAUUGAGUCGGCUAUAAUCGUUCUUUUCCCGCCUCGUUCGGCCGCUCCAGCUGGGGCAGCUGAACAAGGUGGGCUGAAUCGCGCACGCUGCGUGUUGCACCGCGUUCGCCGUCACUGGCAUUCGCGUUGACGACCCGCAGCGUUGUGCUCGAUCUCUCGGGUAUGGUGCAUGACGUGGGUACGAGGCCGAUGGCCUCCGAGCUCCACAAUCAAGCGUUCUACGCUUCGUGCGAACGACUGUCGGUUCGGUAUUUGGCUUUGCUCCCGUGGCUCGGCUCAAGCCGUACCGACGUCGAUGAGGAAUGCUACCUGGUUGAUCCUGCCAGUAGUCAUAUGCUUGUCUCAA